AGUGAACGCUGGCGGUAGGCCUAACACAUGCAAGUCGAACGGCAGCACAGUAAGAGCUUGCUCUUACGGGUGGUGAGUGGCGGACGGGUGAGGAAUACAUCGGAAUCUACUUUUUCGUGGGGGACAACGUAGGGAAACUUACGCUAAUACCGCAUACGACCUACGGGUGAAAGCAGGGGAUCUUCGGACCUUGCGCGAUUGAAUGAGCCGAUGUCGGAUUAGCUAGUUGGCGGGGUAAAGGCCCACCAAGGCGACGAUCCGUAGCUGGUCUGAGAGGAUGAUCAGCCACACUGGAACUGAGACACGGUCCAGACUCCUACGGGAGGCAGCAGUGGGGAAUAUUGGACAAUGGGCGCAAGCCUGAUCCAGCCAUACCGCGUGGGUGAAGAAGGCCUUCGGGUUGUAAAGCCCUUUUGUUGGGAAAGAAAAGCAGCAGGUUAAUACCCCGCUGUUCUGACGGUACCCAAAGAAUAAGCACCGGCUAACUUCGUG
rnacentral:rRNA from 1 species